GACGAACGCUGGCGGCGUGCUUAACACAUGCAAGUCGAACGGAAAGGCCCUGCUUUUGUGGGGUGCUCGAGUGGCGAACGGGUGAGUAACACGUGAGUAACCUGCCCUUGACUUUGGGAUAACUUCAGGAAACUGGGGUUAAUACCGGAUAGGAGCUCCUGCUGCAUGGUGGGGGUUGGAAAGUUUCGGCGGUUGGGGAUGGACUCGCGGCUUAUCAGCUUGUUGGUGGGGUAGUGGCUUACCAAGGCUUUGACGGGUAGCCGGCCUGAGAGGGUGAACGGCCACAUUGGGACUGAGAUACGGCCCAGACUCCUACGGUGGGCAGCAGUGGGGAAUAUUGCACAAUGGGCGGAAGCCUGAUGCAGCAACGCCGCGUGCGGGAUGACGUCCUUCGGGUUGUAAACCGCUUUCGCCUGUUACGAAGCGGGAGUGACGGUAAUGGGUAAAGAAGCACCGGCUAACUACGUG
rnacentral:rRNA from 1 species